UACAGAGGUCUCAAGCGUUGUUCGGAUUCAUUGGGCGUAAAGGGUGCGUAGGUGGCGCCGUAAGUCGGGUGUGAAAUUUCGGAGCUUAACUCCGAAACUGCAUUCGAUACUGCGGUGCUUGAGGACUGGAGAGGAGACUGGAAUUCAUGGUGUAGCAGUGAAAAUGCGUAGAGAUCAUGAGGAAGACCAGUGGCGAAGGCGGGUCUCUGGGCCGAUACUGACGUGAGGAGCGAAAGCGUGGGGGAGCGAACAGG
rnacentral:rRNA from 1 species